UUAAUCUUACGACAUGUGUAAAGGUAUAGCCAACACUCUUAUUUGGAACAGUUUUCUGUUGAGCAUGUGGGAGCUAAAAUAGCAGACAUUCAAACAAGCAGGGCCCUUUGCCUCCCCCACACACAAAGCAAUAAAAUUUACAUUCCGAGGGGGGAAGAGACUUUUUGGCGCCAGGGAUCUCCCGUACCAGAUAGAGAUGAGCACGAAGUGGUCCGCCCUUUUGCUUAGACAAAAACCAGACACCUUUGCCAUAAUGAGGGGAGUUUCCAAGUUUUUUUGAGUCCCUACGGAGUUUCUAAUAGGUCAAAGAACGGAACGCCUUGACUGCAUAUAUUAAAUAGGGAAACACCUCUUUACUUUAAGAUUCCCACGCCAGAAAAUGAGUUAGUGUUUUUA